rnacentral:pre_miRNA from 1 species
UGUUUCCUGGGGCUUCCCUGUUGCUGCUUCCAGUUUGGGUCACCAUGGGAGUUCCAGGGAUCGUG